rnacentral:tRNA from 1 species
GCGCCAGUAGCCCAGCUGGAUAGAGCAACAGGCUACGAACCUGUAGGUCGGAGGUUCGAAUCCGUCCUGGCGCGCCA